rnacentral:RNase_P_RNA from 1 species
CCAGGGGGCUGGGCAGCCGCGUGCCGCAAGGUACGAGGAAAGUCCGGGCUCCACGAAACAAGGGUGGCGGGUAACGCCCGCCGUGGGCAACCACAGGGAAAGUGCCACAGAGAGCAUACCGCCGAUGGCCUGCCGAGGUUCGCCAAGGACAGGAUCAGGCAAGGGUGAAAGGGUGCGGUAAG